ncrna:unclassified sequences RT-2 RNA
CGAGGUCACAUGGAGUAGCCGAAAGGCGAAAGACGACCUUCGCAAAAGGAGAUGCACUUCCCUGGGUGAAAAUCCUUAAAACUGCUCUGCUCGUGAGAGUGGAAUAGAACGUAUCCUAUGAAAAUAGCCGACGUUCUAUCUUUUGAUGUCAUUGCACGGACGCUGCUUGCAUGGUGGGUGAUUGUGCCUAAUCCCAUUUCAUGUGCAAGGACAAUGCAGAUUAGAUGGCACCCUACAACUUAUCUGUACGAAAGGCGAAAACUUAUUAUGACAAGU